rnacentral:rRNA from 1 species
GACGAACGCUGGCGGCGUGCCUAAUACAUGCAAGUAGAACGCUGAAGGAGGACCUUGCUUCUCUGGAUGAGUUGCGAACGGGUGAAAAACGCGGAGGUAACCUGCCUGGUAGCGGGGGAUAACUAUUGGAAACGAUAGCUAAUCCCGCAUAAGAGUAGAUGUUGCAUGAGAUUUGAUUAAAAGUUGCAAUUGCCUCACUACCAGAUGGUCCUGCGUUGUAUUAGCUAGUUGGUGGGGUAACGGCUCACCAAGGCGACGAUACAUAGCCGACCUGAGAGGGUGAGCGGCCACACUGGGACUGAGACACGGCCCAGACGCCUACGGGAGGCAGCAGUAGGGAAUCGUCGGCAAUGGACGGAAGUCUGACCGAGCAACGCCGCGUGAGUGAAGAAGGUUUUCGGAUCGUAAAGCUCUGUUGUAAGAGAAGAACGAGUGUGAGAGUGGAAAGUGCACACUGUGACGGUAUCUUACCAGAAAGGGACGGCUAACUACGUG